rnacentral:rRNA from 1 species
CCUACGGGAGGCAGCAGUGGGGGAUAUUGCACAAUGGGGGGAACCCUGAUGCAGCGACGCCGCGGGGGUGAAGAAGCGCCUCGGCGCGUAAAGCCCUGUCAGCAGGGAAGAAAAUGACGGUACCUGAAGAAGAAGCCCCGGCUAACUACGUGCCAGCAGCCGCGGUAAUACGUAGGGGGCAAGCGUUAUCCGGAUUUACUGGGUGUAAAGGGGGCGCAGACGGCGAUGCAAGCCAGGAGUGAAAGCCCGGGCCCCAACCCCGGGACUGCUCUUGGAACUGCGUGGCUGAAGUGCAGGAGGGGCAGGCGGAAUUCCUGGUGUAGCGGUGAAAUGCGUAGAUAUCAGGAGGAACACCGGUGGCGAAGGCGGCCUGCUGGACUGCAACUGACGUUGAGGCCCGAAAGCGUGGGGAGCAAACAGGAUUAGAUACCCUUGUAGUC